UACAGAGGUCUCAAGCGUUGUUCGGAUUCAUUGGGCGUAAAGGGCGCGUAGGCGGCGGGGUCAGUCGGGUGUGAAAUCUUGGGGCUUAACCCCGAAACGGCACUCGAAACUGCCCGGCUGGAGGGCCGGAGAGGAGAUCGGAAUUCACGGUGUAGCAGUGAAAUGCGUAGAGAUCGUGAGGAAGACCCGUGGCGAAGGCGGAUCUCUGGACGGCUAACUGACGCUGAGGCGCGAAGGCCAGGGGAGCAAACGGGG
rnacentral:rRNA from 1 species